UACGGGGGGGGCAAGCGUUGUUCGGAAUUCCUGGGCGUAAAGGGCUCGUAGGGGGCCAACUAAGUCAUACGUGAAAUCCCUCGGCUUAACCGGGGAACUGCGUCUGAUACUGGAUGGCUUGAGGUUGGGAGAGGGAUGCGGAAUUCCAGGUGUAGCGGUGAAAUGCGUAGAUAUCUGGAGGAACACCGGUGGCGAAGGCGGCAUUCUGGACUGCAACUGACACUGAAAGACGAAAGCCAGGGGAGCAAACGGG
rnacentral:rRNA from 1 species